rnacentral:rRNA from 1 species
AAUGAACGCUGGCGGCGUGCCUAAUACAUGCAAGUCGAGCGAAGCGGGGACGGGUGAGUAACACGUGGAUAACCUCCUAUAAGACUGGGAUAACUUCGGGAAACCGGAGCUAACCCGGUUAGUUAUAGAUGGAUCCGCGCUGGAUUAGCUAGUGGGUACGGUAACGGCUUACCAAGGCAACGAUGCAUAGCCGACCUGAGAGGGUGAUCGGCCACACUGGAACGGAGACACGGUCCAGACUCCUACGGGAGGCAGCAGUAGGGAAUAUUCCGCAAUGGGCGAAAGCCUGACGGAGCAACGCCGCGUGAGUGAUGAAGGUCUUCGGAUCGUAAAACUCUGUUAGUAGGGAAGCGGUACCUAAUCAGAAAGCAACGGCUAACUACGUGCCAGCAGCCGCGGUAAUUC